rnacentral:rRNA from 1 species
CCGGGGGGCAGCAGCCGAGAAUAUUCGACAAUGGGCGAAAGCCUGAUCGAGCGACGCCGCGUGCAGGAAGAAGGUUUUCGGAUUGUAAACUGCUUUUCUACAGGAAGAAUAAAUGACGGUACUGUAGGAAUAAGGAGCUGCAAACUACGUGCCAGCAGCCGCGGUAAUA